UACGUAGGUGGCAAGCGUUGUCCGGAUUUAUUGGGUUUAAAGGGUGCGUAGGCGGCUUUGUAAGUCAGUGGUGAAAUCUGGCAGCUUAACUGUCAAGGUGCCAUUGAUACUGCGGAGCUUGAGUACAGAUGAGGUAGGCGGAAUUGACGGUGUAGCGGUGAAAUGCUUAGAUAUCGUCAAGAACACCUAUAGCGAAGGCAGCUUACUAGGCUGUAACUGACGCUGAGGCACGAAAGUGUGGGGAUCAAACAGG
rnacentral:rRNA from 1 species